UCAAGUUAUUAAGGGUGCAGGGCGGAUGCCUUGGCACUAGGAGCCGAUGAAGGACGUGAUAAGCUGCGAUAAGCUUCGGGGAGUUGCACGUAAACUUUGAUCCGAAGAUUUCCGAAUGAGGAAACUCACUUAGAGUAAUGUCUAAGUAUCAUUAAGUGAAUACAUAGCUUAAUGAGGGGAACUCAGGGAACUGAAACAUCUAAGUACCUGAAGGAAGAGAAAGAAAUUCGAUUCCGUAAGUAGCGGCGAGCGAACGCGGAUUAGCCCAAACCAAUAAAGUUUUCUUUAUUGGGGUUGCGGACAUAUCAUAACGAAGAGGUAUCGUAAUUGAAGAGGUUUGGAAAGACCCACCACAGAAGGUAAUAGUCCUGUAUGUUAAACGAGAAGACUUCAGAUAUGAUCCAGAGUACCACGGGACACGUGAAACCCUGUGGGAAGCAGGAGGGACCACCCUCCAAGGCUAAAUACUACCUAGUGACCGAUAGCGUAUAGUACCGUGAGGGAAAGGUGAAAAGAACCCCGGGAGGGGAGUGAAAUAGAACCUGAAACCCUGCACUUACAAGCUGUGGAAGCACAUUUCUUGUGUGACCGCGUACUUUUUGUAGAACGGGCCAACGAGUUACGUUAAGUAGCAAGGUUAAGCACUUAAGGUGCGGAGCCGUAGCGAAAGCGAGUUUUAACUGAGCGUUCAGUUACUUGACGUAGACCCGAAACCGGGCGACCUACCCAUGAGCAGGAUGAAGCGAAAGUAAAAUUUCGUGGAGGUCCGAACCCACGAGCGUUGAAAAGCUCGGGGAUGACUUGUGGGUAGCGGUGAAAUUCCAAUCGAGCCCGGAGAUAGCUGGUUCUCCCCGAAAUAGCUUUAGGGCUAGCCUCAAGGUGAGAGAUACGGAGGUAGAGCACUGAAUGUCCUAGGGGGUAUUGCACCUACCGAAGACUAUCAAACUCCGAAUGCCGUCAUCUUAUACUUGGGAGUCAGACUGUGGGUGAUAAGAUUCAUAGUCGAAAGGGCAACAGCCCAGAUCGUCAGCUAAGGUCCCUAAAUGUAAGUUAAGUGGUAAAGGAUGUGGGAUUGCACAGACAACCAGGAUGUUGGCUUAGAAGCAGCCACUCAUUCAAAGAGUGCGUAAUAGCUCACUGGUCGAGUGAUCCUGCGCCGAAGAUUUCCGGGGCUAAAACUUACUACCGAAGCUACGGCAUCAGUAAUGAUGGGUAGGGGAGCUUCCCAUACGGGUUGAAGCAUGACCGUAAGGACAUGUGGACAGUAUGGGAGUGAGAAUGUUGGCAUGAGUAGCGAGAUGUGGGUGAGAAUCCCACAGGCCGUAAACCCAAGGUUUCCAGGGGAAGGUUCGUCCGCCCUGGGUUAGUCGGGACCUAAGCUGAGGCCGAAAGGCGUAGGUGAUGGACAACAGGUUGAUAUUCCUGUACUACCGAUAACCGUUUGAGAGAAGGGAUGACACAGUAGGAUAAGCUAAGCACACUGUUGGUUAUGUGUGCCCAAGCAUUGAGGCAGUCAAAGUAGGCAAAUCCGCUUUGAUAAUGCUGGGAUGUGAUGGGGAGCGAAAUUUAGUAGCGAAGUAGCUGAUUUCACACUGUCAAGAAAAGUCUCUAUCGAGGUUAAAGGUACCCGUACCGCAAACCGACACAGGUGGGUGAGGAGAGUAUCCUAAGGCCAGCGAGAGAACUGUUGUUAAGGAACUCGGCAAAAUGACCCCGUAACUUAGGGAUAAGGGGUGCCACCAUCAGGUGGCCGCAGAGAAUAGGCCCAAGCGACUGUUUACCAAAAACAUAGGUUUCUGCUAAGUCGCAAGACGAUGUAUAGGAGCUGACGCCUGCCCGGUGCUGGAAGGUUAAGGGGAUCUGUUAGAGCAAUCGAAGCAGUGAACUUAAGCCCCAGUAAACGGCGGCCGUAACUAUAACGGUCCUAAGGUAGCGAAAUUCCUUGUCGGGUAAGUUCCGACCCGCACGAAAGGCGUAACGAUUUGGGCACUGUCUCAACAACAGACUCGGUGAAAUUGUAAUUCCGGUGAAGAUGCCGGAUACCUGCGACAGGACGGAAAGACCCCAUGGAGCUUUACUGUAGCUUGACAUUGGGUCUUGGUACUACAUGUACAGGAUAGGUGGGAGGCUUUGAAACCAGGACGCCAGUUUUGGCGGAGCCAUCCUUGGGAUACCACCCUUGUAGUACUGGGACUCUAACCAUAGGCCAUGAAUCUGGUCUUGGGACACUG
rnacentral:rRNA from 1 species